rnacentral:rRNA from 1 species
AAUGAACGCUGGCGGCGUGCUUAACACAUGCAAGUCGUACGAGAAAUCUUCAGCUUGCUGAAGAGAGUAAAGUGGCGCACGGGUGAGUAACGCGUGGGUAAUCUACCCUCAAAUCGGGGAUAACAUUGCGAAAGCGAUGCUAAUACCGGAUAACAUCAUAUUAACCUUGGUUUUUAUGAUCAAAGAUGACCUCUACAUGUAAGUUGUUGUUUGAGGAGGAGCCCGCGUACCAUUAGCUAGUUGGUGGGGUAAAGGCCUACCAAGGCUACGAUGGUUAGCUGGUCUGAGAGGAUGAUCAGCCACACCGGAACUGACACACGGUCCAGACUCCUACGGGAGGCAGCAGUGAGGAAUUUUGCGCAAUGGGGGAAACCCUGACGCAGCAACGCCGCGUGAGUGAUGAAGGCUUUAGGGUCGUAAAGCUCUGUCAAGUGGGAAGAACCUAUCCGGGAGUAAUAUGUCCGGGUAUUGACGUACCACUGAAGAAGCACCGCUAACU